CCUAUCAUCCCUAGUAGCGGCGAGCGAGCGGGAAGAGCUCAAAUUUAUAAUCUGGCACCUUCGGUGUCCGAGUUGUAAUCUCUAGAAAUGUUUUCCGCGUUGGACCGCACACAAGUCUGUUGGAAUACAGCGGCAUAGUGGUGAGACCCCCGUAUAUGGUGCGGACGCCCAGCGCUUUGUGAUACAUUUUCGAAGAGUCGAGUUGUUUGGGAAUGCAGCUCAAAUUGGGUGGUAAAUUCCAUCUAAAGCUAAAUAUUGGCGAGAGACCGAUAGCGAACAAGUACCGUGAGGGAAAGAUGAAAAGCACUUUGGAAAGAGAGUUAACAGUACGUGAAAUUGUUGGAAGGGAAACGCUUGAAGUCAGACUUGCUUGCCGAGCAAUCGGUUUGCAGGCCAGCAUCAGUUUUCCGGGAUGGAUAAUGGUAGAGAGAAGGUAGCAGUUUCGGCUGUGUUAUAGCUCUCUGCUGGAUACAUCUUGGGGGACUGAGGAACGCAGUGUGCCUUUGGCGGGGGUUUCGACCUCUUCACACUUAGGAUGCUGGUGGAAUGGCUUUAAACGACCCGUCAAAAACCACCGGA
rnacentral:rRNA from 1 species